rnacentral:rRNA from 1 species
GAUGAACGCUGGCGGCGUGCCUAACACAUGCAAGUCGAACGAAGCAUUUGAUUGGAAGUUUUCGGAUGGAAGAUGAGAUGACUGAGUGGCGGACGGGUGAGUAACGCGUGGGUAACCUGCCCCAUACAGGGGGAUAACAGUUAGAAAUGACUGCUAAUACCGCAUAAGCGCACGAGGAUGCAUGUUCUUGUGUGAAAAACUGAGGUGGUAUGGGAUGGACCCGCGUCUGAUUAGCUAGUUGGCAGGGUAAAGGCCUACCAAGGCGACGAUCAGUAGCCGGCCUGAGAGGGUGGACGGCCACAUUGGGACUGAGACACGGCCCAAACUCCUACGGGAGGCAGCAGUGGGGAAUAUUGCACAAUGGGGGAAACCCUGAUGCAGCGACGCCGCGUGAGCGAAGAAGUAUUUCGGUAUGUAAAGCUCUAUCAGCAGGGAAGAAAAUGACGGUACCUGACUAAGAAGCUCCGGCUAAAUACGUGCCAGCCGCCGCAGUAACAC